GUGCCAGCAGCCGCGGUAAUACGUAGGUGGCAAGCGUUGUCCGGAAUUAUUGGGCGUAAAGGGCUCGCAGGCGGUUUCUUAAGUCUGAUGUGAAAGCCCCCGGCUCAACCGGGGAGGGUCAUUGGAAACUGGGAAACUUGAGUGCAGAAGAGGAGAGUGGAAUUCCACGUGUAGCGGUGAAAUGCGUAGAGAUGUGGAGGAACACCAGUGGCGAAGGCGACUCUCUGGUCUGUAACUGACGCUGAGGAGCGAAAGCGUGGGGAGCGAACAGGAUUAGAUACCCUGGUAGUCCACGCCGUAAACGAUGAGUGCUAAGUGUUAGGGGGUUUCCGCCCCUUAGUGCUGCAGCUAACGCAUUAAGCACUCCGCCUGGGGAGUACGGUCGCAAGACUGAAACUCAAAGGAAUUGACGGGGGCCCGCACAAGCGGUGGAGCAUGUGGUUUAAUUCGAAGCAACGCGAAGAACCUUACCAGGUCUUGACAUCCUCUGACAACCCUAGAGAUAGGGCUUUCCCUUCGGGGACAGAGUGACAGGUGGUGCAUGGUUGUCGUCAGCUCGUGUCGUGAGAUGUUGGGUUAAGUCCCGCAACGAGCGCAACCCU
rnacentral:rRNA from 1 species